CCUACGGGUGGCAGCAGUAGGGAAUAUUCCUCAAUGGGGGAAACUCUGACGCAGCAACGCCGCGUGAAGGAUGAAGGUUUUCGGAUUGUAAACCCCUUUUGUUAGAGAAGAACAUGUCGGUAUCUAACGAAUAAGCACUGGCUAACUCCGUUCCAGCAGCCGCGGUAAUACGGAGGGUGCAAGCGUUACUCGGAUUCACUGGGCGUAAGGAGCGCGUAGGCGGGUUGGCAGGUCAGAGGUGAAAUGCUAUGGGUUAACCAUAGAACUGAAUUGGAAACUGUUAUUCUAGAGUAAGGAAGAGGUAGGUGAAAUCCUUGGUGUAGGGGUAAAAUCCGUAGAAAACAGGAGGAAUACUC
rnacentral:rRNA from 1 species